rnacentral:rRNA from 1 species
UACGUAGGUGGCAAGCGUUGUUCGGAUUUACUGGGCGUAAAGGGCGCGUAGGCGGCAGAUCAAGUCAGCUGUGAAAUCUCAGGGCUUAACCCUGAACGGUCAGCUGAUACUGUUUUGCUAGAGUACAGAAGGGGCAAUCGGAAUUCUUGGUGUAGCGGUGAAAUGCGUAGAUAUCAAGAGGAACACCUGAGGUGAAGACGGGUUGCUGGGCUGAUACUGACGCUGAGGCGCGAAAGCUAGGGUAGCAAACGGG